rfam:Triticum aestivum genome assembly, contig: Triticum_aestivum_CS42_TGACv1_scaffold_328579_4BS
GUAGUACUCCCUCCCUCUCAAAACUCUUGUCUUAGAUUUGUCUAAAUACGGAUGUACCAAGUCACGUUUUAGUAUUAGAUACAUUUGUAUCUAGACUAAUCUAAGAAAAGAAUUUUGGGACGGAGGGAGUACUAC